ACUCCAGCCAUCAGGUGCUUUGUCAUUUAUGAUGUAUGUCGAAUACCGUGUCUCAGAUACGGUGUGGAAGACAAGCUAGUCAAAGAAAAAGAUAAUAAGGUGAUCUGAAAAGUCUGGAUCCGUGUUCGGUGGGGCGGGUAACAGGAAGUGGGUUGCCAAGCAGUAGAGAAGUCUCCCAGAACACCUUGCAGAAGCAGAUCUGAGAUCGAUACCAGCAGAAAACAGCUUGAUCGACUCUGAGUGCAUAGCUAUGGACAGCUCUACCAGUCCCCAACUCUCCCAUGACAGGUCUUAUGCCAACUUCGCAAGUUCACACAAGCUUUCUUUAAAGCUCGCCGGCUGCGUGCGGAUCCUUUCUGAUUUCCACCCUCCAAACAUUCUCACCUCCCUCCCUCCUCUGCAGCACAAGGUCCCCUGAGUUCUGGCUGGACAUCCCUGUGGUUGUCGGGUCACAGAAAAUUUAGCAGCGUUCACACGAAGGAUCAUUGAGCUACCUAUCUGCUUACAGCUUCCCGAACCUACUUUUUCGAAGUCUUUGUAAAUUUUGAUUCCAAAUUAGGAACUUUUAUGUUAAGCUGAAUUUUUGUUAUCUCUAUAGUGAAGCCCUGCCCAUAUCUGGUCACAUUUCAUUUGACUCUUACGUAUUCACCCCUCCCUACCACUUGGCCGCGUGGCCUAAUGGAUAAGGCGUCUGAUUCCGGAUCAGAAGAUUGAGGGUUCGAGUCCCUUCGUGGUCGGUGUGCUUUUACAUUUUUCUUGCUUAAUUGGUGUACUCACUUUCUGGAAAUGUGAAAUGUAUUUUCCUUCGUGUAGGUAUUGUACUAUGGCAUGACUGCUGGCUCGUGCUUAAAGAACCCUUGUUUAACUGUGUAGUUGAGGAGUGGGGGUGGGGGUGGGGAGUACUGUAUACUACACAAACAAAAAGGCAAAAUUAGCCCAGGGUUUCCUAAAUAAGACCUGAAUAAGGACUCUAAAUUACUUGCUAACACAGAAGGAAGACAUCUCACCAGUCCGUAACUUUGGACAAAGAACUACAGUCAACUAAGGAAUGCGGAGGGCAGGAGAAAUAGUCUUCCUUGGGGAAAUGACCCCAAUUGGUUAUCCAAUGUCUAGUGGUUAGCCCUGAAAUAAUAUGCAUAAAAGUAUCAUUCUUUGGACUGAGCAGCUUGUAAUUUAUGUAUUUAGAAGCGUGCGAGUGUGUGAAAAAUUAAAGAAACGGAGGCUAUGAAUUUGUCCAGGGCUGAGUGGAGGAGUACAUGGGAAGAUUUGGAGGGAGGAGAGAGAAAGGAAAAUAGAUGUAAUUAUAUUUUAAUUUAAAAACACUCUCAAGGAUCUCCUUUCCUGUGACCACAGCAAUUAAAAAGAAAACAAAAAACCCAUUGAGGGCCGGGUGAUGGUGGCGCACCCCUUUAAUCCCAGCACUUGGGAGGCAGAGGCAGGCCUGGUCUACAAAGUGAGUUCCAGGACAGCCAGGGCUACACAGAGAAACAAACAAACAAAACCAACCUGAGAAGGUUGGGAAUGAAAGAUUAAAAUGUUUGUAAUCUUCUGUAAGAAGGAGCUAACCUAGUUCAUUGAGCUGCCAAAGGGCCUCAGGAUAUCCUGGAACUCAGUAGGUAGACCUCAAACUCAUAGAAAUCUACUUACCUCUGCCUCCUCUGGGCUGAAAUUAAAGGCAUGCACCAAAUUCAUAUAUACUUUUUCUGUUUCGUUUCUUUCUCUUUCUUUCUUUUUCUUUCUUUCUUUCUUUCUUUCUUUCUUUCUUUCUUUCUUUCUUUCUUUCUUUCUUUGUUUUCUUUUUCUCUUCCUUCCUUCCUUCCUUCCUUCCUUCCUUUCUUUCUUUCUUUCUUUCUUUUUUUUUUUUUUGAGAUAGGGUCUUAUUUUGUAGGCCAAUUGGCCUCCCAAGUUCUUGGACUACAUGCAUAAACCAACAUGUCAGUUUUACAUUGUGUAAUGAUUAAAUGAGUUUAAACGUUC